rnacentral:other from 1 species
UGUUCCCUGCGGGGCGCGUGAUGAGCAGCAAACGCUCGAACCGAUACCAACCAAACGGGGGUCGUUUCGGGUUCUGGGUGCAUGCCUUCCUUCGGGGAGGAAGCCGAAAGAGCUCGAACUCGAUUCCCACCUGAACCUCUCGGUUCAGUGGAAGCUGCUCACACGGCUCAUUGGCGGGGAACGU